rnacentral:sRNA from 1 species
AUGACUGACUCCCCAGGGACAUGAGGUGGAUACUGUUCAUUGGGGCCCUUAUUGGGUCCAGCAUCUGUGGCCAAGAAAAAUUUUUUGGGGACCAAGUUUUUAGGAUUAAUGUCAGAAAUGGAGACGAGAUCAGCAAAUUGAGUCAACUAGUGAAUUCAAACAACUUGAAGCUCAAUUUCUGGAAAUCUCCCUCCUCCUUCAAUCGGCCUGUGGAUGUCCUGGUCCCAUCUGUCAGUCUGCAGGCAUUUAAAUCCUUCCUGAGAUCCCAGGGCUUAGAGUACGCAGUGACAAUUAAGGACCUGCAGUAAAAUGGUGAUAGUGAGACCUUCUUCAUGUGAUUUGUUGAGAAGACUCAGGAUUAAAUGCCCUUUUAGACAAUGAAGAUGAUGAAAUGCAACACAAUGAAGGGCAAGAACGGAGCAGUAAUAACUUCAACUAUGGGGCUUACCAUUCCCUGGAAGCUAUUUACCACGAGAUGGACAACAUUGCCGCAGACUUUCCUGAUCUGGCGAGGAGGGUGAAGAUUGGACAUUCGUUUGAAAACCGGCCGAUGUAUGUACUGAAGUUCAGCACUGGGAAAGGCGCGCGGCGGCCGGCCGUUUGGCUGAAUGCAGGCAUCCAUUCCCGAGAGUGGAUCUCCCAGGCCACUGCAAUCUGGACGGCAAGGAAGGUCAUGCCGCGUGGUAUUAGCCAGGAAUGCUGAUGGUGCCGGGGUGCCCCUGCAGCAUGCCAUGUGGCUGGGCCUGGGGCACGAGGUGGGAGGGUUCUCUACUAAGACCCAGUCGGCUGGGGGGCCUUUUCAGAUUGGAGAAGCAAAUGGUCAAAACCCCUUGGUCAGCUCACUGCGGCCAAAUUGAUUGCGUUCCUGGUGGUGCACAAGCUGAUAUGCAGCAGAGGUGGGCCUGAGCCUCUGAGAGCAGUCCACUCCGCAGAAAGGGAGCAGAGCAACACCCAGACGAGGCCCCAUAGACCCUCGGGGACCUCACGCCAUCUCCAUCUCCUAGAAAGGCUGCUGGGAGGGCAGCA